UAGGGAAUAUUAGCUAAUGUGCGAAAGCGCGAACUAGCAACGCCGCGUGUGCGAUGAAGGUCUUCGGAUCGUAAAGCACUUUUCGAGAAGAUGAGGAAGGACAGUACUCUCGGAAUAAGUCUCGGCUAACUACGUGCCAGCAGCCGCGGUAAAACGUAGGAGGCAAGCGUUAUCCGGAUUUACUGGGCGUAAAGCGCGUGCAGGCGGUUUGGUAAGUUGGAUGUGAAAGCUCCCGGCUCAACUGGGAGAGGUCGUUCAAAACUACCAGACUGGAGGGCGGUAGAGGGAAGUGGAAUUCCGUGUGUAGUGGUGAAAUGCGUAGAUAUACGGAGGAAUACCAGUGGCGAAAGCGGCUUCCUGGACCGUUCCUGACGCUCAGACGCGAAAGCUAGGGGAGCAAACG
rnacentral:rRNA from 1 species